UAUGUCAGAUAUAGGGAAUUCUUGCCUGGAGAGAGCUCUUCAUUUUCGUCCGUCUUGAAGAACUGAAAGCGUUUCUGCCAGCUAAGUUAAGUAUUUUCCAUGACAAAUGUUACAGAUGGGUUCUGUGCAAGCUGGCAAAAAUAGCCAUGUGGGUAUAAUACGUUGCCGCAUACCUAAAAUACAGAAUUUUACAAGCACAUGUAAUAUGAAAGCCUGCCUUCCACUUGCUUUGCAUAAGAAAGCAGUUUACCAGCUUUGGAAAAGAUGAGGGGCCUUCGGUAUCCCAGGUGAUUAUUCUUACGGAUGGAAUGAGUCAUUUUCAUGUGGACUUUAACAUGUGGCAUGCGGUUGGUUCUCACCAAUGAGCUUUCAUUUGUGACCAUCGCAGUGAUUUACAAAGCUAGACAUGGAUCAUCUCUUUGCUUUAAAGAUGACAGGAGUGAAUUUAUGCUGAGUCGACCAGCAAUUCUCAUCCAGAUGUAUUUACCACUUGCUGUAUUGUGGUUAAACCAGUUGAGCUUAGGACAUACUGCUGAAUCCAACAAAAAAGUUGCAUCAGCUGGGCUGCACAGCAGAGAGUAAUGCAAAGGCACUGUAGAGCAAAAGCUCCGAGUCUGAAAUAAAUUUGCUAUUUGCCAGAUAAGUCUACUUCUA
rnacentral:lncRNA from 1 species